rnacentral:tRNA from 6 species
GCCGACGUAGCUCAGAAGUAGAGCAGGCGCUUUGUAAGCGUCAGGCCGGGAUUGCAAAAUUCCCCGUCGGCU